rnacentral:rRNA from 1 species
CCUACGGGAGGCUGCAGUGGGGAAUAUUGGACAAUGGGCGAAAGCCUGAUCCAGCCAUGCCGCGUGUGUGAAGAAGGCCUUCGGGUUGUAAAGCACUUUCAGUGGGGAAGAAAGCCUUGGGGCUAAUACCCUCGAGGAAGGACAUCACCCACAGAAGAAGCACCGGCUAACUCCGUGCCAGCAGCCGCGGUAAUACGGAGGGUGCGAGCGUUAAUCGGAAUUACUGGGCGUAAAGCGCGCGUAGGCGGUCUGAUAAGCCGGUUGUGAAAGCCCCGGGCUCAACCUGGGAACGGCAUCCGGAACUGUCAGGCUAGAGUGCAGGAGAGGAAGGUAGAAUUCCCGGUGUAGCGGUGAAAUGCGUAGAGAUCGGGAGGAAUUCCAGUGGCGAAGGCGGCCUUCUGGACUGACACUGACGCUGAGGUGCGAAAGCGUGGGUAGCAAACAGGAUUAGAUACCCCAGUAGUC